UCCACCCGCCUCAGCCUCCCAAAGUGCUGGGAUCACAGGCGCGAGCCACCGUGCACGGCCAAAAACACCUACUUUUAAUAAUAAUGAUGUAAGCAUUUUCAUUAAAGUCUUUAAUGGAUGUAUAAGACUUUGAAUGACCCUGGCCAUCGAGGGUGUCAUCCACGGGAGAGCCGGUCAGCCACGGGCUCCAUGGGCAGCUGCCCCGCACCGCGCCCACGCAGGCCCACCGUGCAGCCCCCAAGUCACCAGAGUUUAGGAAUCACUUCCAAAAGACACACCGUUGUGACCGGAGCCAUUGGCAAAUAUCAGGAUUUUUCAAAGCACACUUCAAUACAUCCUUCACUUUAAUUUAUAAAACAAAUGACGGAAUAGAAAAGUCUCCCCUGUGAUGAGCACAGUGUUACUCACAUUGUGUACAAGAACAGCCCAACUGGUAACCGGCACGCUGUUGGCAACACGGCAGUAUUUAGGUCAGUGCCUUAAAUAUUUAACAAAUCAAGGAGGGUCAUGGAAAGCAGUUUGCUUGUUAACCACUUCCGGGAUACACUGGGGGUCUCCCACUCAAGGUGGGGUCCCAGCAGCCCUGCUCCCCCGGCAGGUGUGACUUCAGCGGCUGCAGGCUGGGCCCCGCUACCUGGACAUCCCCAUGCUGGUCUGGGACACCUGUGUGAGACCCAGGUCGGCUCCUGGACCCUGCCCUGGGGCUUCUAACUUUCCGUCUUUGGAGGAGAGUCUCACUGGCUAAGGUUGGGAGUGUGGCUGGAACCCAUCUCCACAUUCCAUCCAGAAGCCUGAGCUGGGGGAGGGGCGGGGUGUGCCCAGCGCCGUUCUUGUCCCAGCACCUGGGGCUCGGGUGUGAAUCCACCACGUCGUGCUCAGCGCCAGGCAUGGAGCGGUGCCCUGAGAAACCUGAGUGUAGGGUGGACCACGCUCACCUGGUGGGUAUGACUUUGAGGCAAGGCAAGGCGUGGCGCGAACCUCCUAACUUGAGGUUUUCGUAUCUCCUCCCGAAGCCACCAGCCGCACGGUGGGGUGGAGCGGCCCCUGAGUCAUGGAGGCCUGGGGUCUCCGCCUGGCCAAGAGGGCUGCAUGGCAAUUUCCACACCUGUGCACCAGGCCCCACUCAGAGGCACAAGGUGGUGCGACCCCCCUCCCAGAGAGCUCAGAAGACGGCUCCGCCACACCUGACCCCUGGCAGCCGGCAGACCUGCCUCUAGGAAGCCUCGGCUCUGGGCAGCUGUCCCUUCACCGGAGGGGCACUUACACUCCCGCCCCCACCUGUGUCCUGCUGGCUCCUAACCUGCCCCCCUCCAUGUGGCUGUAUCGGAGACGUGGGGCAGGCGCCACUCACGGAAAAAAGGCAUCAGAGGGGCUUCCACAUCAUCGGAACUUUUAUUCCUCAGGACGCUACACGCUCCCUUUCCUGGCGGGGCAGGUCAGUGCAUCGAGUUCUGUUUCCGUGGAAAAUGUGCACCUUGGAAACUGCAUGACAGCCCCUCAGCAGGGUCCCCGCGGCCACCGCGACACAGGCUCAGCAGCAAGUUCCUCCAGCACGAAGCUGGCCUGCCCGGGCCCAGGUGUGAGGGACCGUUCUGCUCCCAGCAGCGCCUGCCGACGCUUCCCUCCGUGGUCUCGGCGCAAGCGUCUGUCCCUGGCUGCCCUCGGAGCCGUGCCCAGCCUGGCAUGCAUAUGCGGUGGUUAAGGAUACAGUUAAAGGGUCAAUCACGCAUGUCCACGACAGAGACGCAGCGGCCUCACACCGACUCCUCGGUGGACAGCAGUAAUGGGUUGAUGUACUCGAAGCCUUCGAACUCCGACUGGUCGAUCCUCUUUAUGGCAUCCCUGUGGGCAAAGGCGGCAGGGGGCGGGGGGGAUGACCUGUGUUCAUUCCCUCUGGGGAGGGGAGUCACAUUCGCAAAAGAAUCCUCCCCCAACGCCCACCGGAGAGAGGACGCCAGGCGGGCAGGACUCAAGGGCAGGCCGGGUCACCAGCCGCCCAAGGUGCCGGCCUGCCAUGGGGCUGCCCGGAGGGGGGGGUGCUCCGGGGUCCCCGCACCCAGUGGGACUUACUCAUCGUCUGGGGUCAGCUGCACGGGCUCGCUGGUGAACUGUGUGUCAAAGUUGUCCAGACCGUAGUCGUCCGUGAUCUGUGGCUGGAAUGGAGGGAGCGCCUGCUUCUUCUCCAGCUUGGAAAAACAAGGCAAGAAGGGUCAGCUCCGCGCGGGCAUCAUCCCUACCAGAUUGAGAGUUCCGCAUGCACUUGAAUCACAGAAUGAAACACUGAGAAACUCAGCA